GUUUGAUUCUGGCUCAGAUUGAACGCUGGCGGGAUGCUUUACACAUGCAAGUCGAACGGCAGCACGGACUUCGGUCUGGUGGCGAGUGGCGAACGGGUGAGUAAUGUAUCGGAACGUGCCUAGUAGCGGGGAUAACUACGCGAAAGCGUAUGUGCACAUACGCCCUUCGGGGGAAAGCGGGGGACCUUCGGGCCUCGCACUAUUAGAAGCGGCCGAUAUCGGAUUAGCUAGUUGGUGGGGUAACGGCUCACCAGGCGACGAUCCGUAGCUGGUUUGAGAGGACGACCAACCACACUGGGACUGAGACACGGCCCAGACUCUACAGGAGGCAGCAGUGGGGAAUUUUGGACAAUGGGGAAACCCUGAUCCAGCCAUCCCGCGUGUGCGAUGAAGGCCUUCGGGUUGUAAAGCACUUUUGGCAGAAAGAAACGGCACGGGAUAAUACCCCGUGCAACUGACGGUACCUGCAGAAUGCGCCGCAGCUAACUACGUGCCAGCAGCCGCGGUAAUACGUAGGGUACAAGCGUUAAUCAGAUUACUGGGCGUAAAGCGUGCGCAGGCGGUUCGGAAGAAAGAUGUGAAAUCCCAGAGCUUAACUUUGGAACUGCAUUUUUAACUACCGAGCUAGAGUGUGUCAGAGGGAGGUGGAAUUCCCGCGUGUAGCAGUGAAAUGCGUGAUAUGCGGAGGAACACCGAUGGCGAAGGCAGCCUCCUGGGAUAACACUGACGCUCAUGCAAAGCGUAAGGGGAGCAAACAGGAUUAGAUACCCUGGUAGUCCACGCCCUAAACGAUGUCAGCUAGCUGUUGGGGCCUUCGGGCCUUGGUAGCGCAGCUAACGCGUGAAGUUGACCGCCUGGGGAGAGUACGGUCGCAAGAUUAAAACUCAAGGAAUUGACGGGACCGCACAAGCGGUGGAUGAUGUGGAUUAAUUCGAUGCAACGCGAAAACCUUACCUACCCCAUGACAUGUCUGGAAUCCCGAAGAGAUUUGGGAGUGCUCGCAAAGAGCCGGAACACAGGUGCUGCAUGGCUGUCGUCAGCUCGUGGCUCGUCAGAGAUGUUGGGUUAAGUCCCGCAACGAGCGCAACCCCUUGUCAUUAGUUGCUACGAAAGGGCACUCUAAUGAGACUGCCGACAAACCGGAGGAAGGUGGGGAUGACGUCAAGUCCUCAUGGCCCUUAUGGGUAGGGCUUCACGUCAUACAAUGGUCGGGACAGAGGGUCGCCAACCCGCGAGGAGGUAAUCUCGAAACCAGUCAUGGUCCGGAUCGCAGUCUGCAACUCGACUGCGUGAAGUCGGAAUCGCUAGUAAUCGCGGAUCAGCAUGUCGCGGUGAAUACGUUCCCAGGUCUUGUACACACCGCCCGUCACACCAUGGGAGUGGGUUUACCAGAAGUAGUUAGCCUAACCGUAAGGAGGCGAUUACCACGGUAGGAUUCAUGACUGGGGUGAAGUCGUAACAAGGUAA
rnacentral:rRNA from 1 species